CGGGCCCGGAGCGCUGUCUGAGAGGGUUUAAGUUUCUCACAGUGAACCGGUCUCUUU
rnacentral:pre_miRNA from 2 species